rnacentral:rRNA from 1 species
UACGUAGGGGGCAAGCGUUAUCCGGAUUUACUGGGUGUAAAGGGAGCGUAGACGGCGAUGCAAGCCAGAUGUGAAAGCCCGGGGCUCAACCCCGGGACUGCAUUUGGAACUGUAUAGCUAGAGUGCCGGAGAGGCAGGCGGAAUUCCUAGUGUAGCGGUGAAAUGCGUAGAUAUUAGGAAGAACACCAGUGGCGAAGGCGGCCUGCUGGACGAUGACUGACGUUGAGGCUCGAAAGCGUGGGGAGCAAACAGG